rnacentral:rRNA from 1 species
AACGAACGCUGGCGGCAGGCCUAAUACAUGCAAGUCGAACGCUGUAGCAAUACAGAGUGGCAGACGGGUGAGUAACGCGUGGGAAUCUUCCUUGCAGUACGGAAUAACUCCGGGAAACCGGUGCUAAUACCGUAUACGUCCUUCGGGAGAAAGAUUUAUCGCUGCAAGAUGAGCCCGCGUCGGAUUAGCUAGUUGGUGGGGUAAAGGCCUACCAAGGCGACGAUCCAUAGCUGGUCUGAGAGGAUGAUCAGCCACACUGGGUCUGAGACACGGCCCAGACUCCUACGGGAGGCAGCAGUGGGGAAUCUUGGACAAUGGGCGCAAGCCUGAUCCAGCCAUGCCGCGUGGGCGAUGAAGGUCUUCGGAUUGUAAAGCCCUUUUGGCGGGGACGAUAAUGACGGUACCCGCAGAAUAAGCUCCGGCUAACUUCGUGCCAGCAGCCGCCGUAA